UUAAUUGAAGAGUUUGAUCAUGGCUCAGAUUGAACGCUGGCGGCAGGCCUAACACAUGCAAGUCGAGCGGUAGCACAGGAGAGCUUGCUCUCUGGGUGACGAGCGGCGGACGGGUGAGUAAUGUCUGGGAAACUGCCUGAUGGAGGGGGAUAACUACUGGAAACGGUAGCUAAUACCGCAUGACGUCGCAAGACCAAAGUGGGGGACCUUCGGGCCUCA
rnacentral:rRNA from 1 species